GAGCCUUGUCCUGUCCUGUCAGGCGAGGAGCUGCGUCGUGACUGACACUAAUGAGUCCCACUCGGUGCCAACGUGUGCGUGAGUGUAAAUGACGAGGGUGCCUGCAGGAGGGAUGGACGUGCACAGCAGUUGGACUGGACCACCAGAUAAAGUACCUCAGAACGGCAGCCGGCCAGAGUCAGCCCCAAUGUAGGCUGAAUGUAUCCUUGGGCUUGACAGUUGUUGGACACCAUACUGUAGACUUUCUGGAUAAAGCUGUACACCAAGCAGGGAAAGCCCAGCGGGAAUGCGACACUAGCAGAGCUUCUUGAUGGAGAUAAAAUGGCACUUUUCAAAUGAAAAACAAUAUUGGUCUUAACUCACUUGCCUCACAAUUCUGAGGUUCGAAUCUUGGCUCUUGGCUUCCUGAUGUUUGGAGUUUGCAUGUUCUCCCUGUGUCAGAUUAUAAGACUAAACUUGUCCAUCGAUGAGAAUGUGAGUGCAAGCGGUUGUCUGUCUUGACAUAGUUGGCCACAUUCAGUUUGGAUAGGUUUCAGCUCACCUGCGACCCAAAUGAGGACAAAAAUAAAAUAUGGAAGAAUGGCUCUAACUCGGAUGUCAGAAUUAUUAACUAUGACCGACAGUGGUUCUCAAACCUUUGAAGAAAGUACCAUCAUACUGACCAACAUUAAAAUAUAGUAGCGUACCAGGCCCCUGUCUUCUUCAAAUAUAAAAGUUAUCCAUCCAUCCAUCCAUCCUUUUUCAGAAUGAAAUCUUAUCACCAUGUUGAGCUAAUUGACGGCUAAUGACAAAUUGAAAAAUGUAUACCUUGUUUCUGGACGAAAUGACAUGACACCGCUCGGCUUUUAAUUUUCAUUAGCAUAAAUAAUGACAGUUUUGAGAUAAAUGAGCAGUUUCUAUCCAUGGAAUCUCUUAACGGAGAAUGCUCGGGAAGAAGACCUGUAUGACAGCAUGUCGUGGGUCAUAAGAAGGCGCAAGCUCAGGUCUUUUCUGAGAAUUGCCACAACAAAAUUAACACCUUUGACAUAAAUAAGGGCGAGCAACAACACUGUUCCUACUAAAAGUGCAUGCACGUAUUAACAAAGACGUGUGCAUAUGGUAUUGCUGCCCCGGCUCCCUUGUCAAAUUUUGAAAAUUGUAUUUGUUUUCAUGAAGGAACAAGAAAAAAAAUACAACUAAAUGUCAACUACUUCCUGUGAAGCCAGGCCAGAAAAGCCAGAGGAUGUGCAAGUGGCACAUAAAGCCUUCCAGGGGAGUGUUAACUUCCUCCCUUCCACAUGCAUGAUGGCUUCUUCCCAUUUAGGACACUUCAAGUCCAGAUGCAUGUGCAUGAUAGCAAGAUGAGGCCCCCAGCAUAGUAAUAAAACUAGCUCGUUGGCACUGGAUUACUUAGCAACACUUCCCAUAUUGUGAAAAAGCAAAUGCUGCUCUUUUUUUUUCCACUGAGGCCAUUUUUACAAAUACAUUCUUAAGUGUAAAUGGAGCUGAUGGGGACAUAGGAUUGAAAAUAAAUUUUUAAAUUGCUCAUAUCCUAAUAGCUGGGUUUCUGGUGCUGGUGUGGCUGCCCCCCUAUCAAACAUAAAAAUAGAGAACCAAGUACAGAUUCACAUUAGCUAAUAGCGUUAGCUUCUGAUAAACUAAUGUGAAAUUGCCAACAGGGUGGAGGUGGGCUUUUGUGUUUAGUGAUCUGCCUACGUGCCACGUGCUGUCUAACAAAAAAUCGGCAGUACGACGGGAAGGAUCAGUCACUUGGUGAGCAUUAUUUUCUUUGCAAAUUUUGAAAAAAAAUGCAAAAAAAAAAAAAAAGCAUGUUCCUGUUUUUAUGUGGUCAUUCUUACGGAAACGUAUCAUGUCGAUCGUUCUUCACAACACAAAUACAAAUUAAGGUUUUGCAUCACCCUGAUGUCACUCUUCCUUGUUACAAUGUGACUUGUAUUGUUGGGGGCUAACAAAUAGUUAAGACAAGCUUUCGGAAAGCCAUGUUCAUCAUGUCCAGAAGAGAGGAUUGAAAAAAAUCUUUUCAGAUGAGGAACAAAUGAUGCUGAAACACUCCACCCCCCCAUUCACCCAUUCCACCCGAAAUGAAACCAGGAGAUUUUUUUGUAAUAAUUUCCUGUUGCUGAAGGAUGUGUUACUGCCACUGCAACAGACCUCUUGUAAUAACAUUACUGUAAAAUGUCCUUGAUUAGUGGAGAAAUAAAGAUGGUUGGGACAAAGUA